UGGUGGAGUGAUUUGUCUGCUUAAUUGCGAUAACGAACGAGACCUUGACCUGCUAAAUAGCCCAACUCACUUUUGUGGGUUGCUGGCUUCUUAGAGGGACUAUCGGCUCAAGCCGAUGGAAGUUUGAGGCAAUAACA
rnacentral:rRNA from 1 species